rnacentral:rRNA from 1 species
GAUUCUUAGCAAUAGAUCACUUGGCUCAUGCAUUGAUGAAGAAUGCAGCUAGCUGUGAGAAUUAAUGUGAAUUGGAGGACACAUUGAUUAUCUACUCCUUAAAUGUCUUGUGGCCCUAGCUUCCUCCCAGGGCUAUGCCUGUCUGAGUAUCA